UACGUAGGCAGCGAGCGUUGUUCGGAGUUACUGGGCGUAAAGGGUGUGUAGGCGGUUCUUUAAGUUUGGUGUGAGAUCUCCCGGCUCAACCGGGAGGGUGCGCCGAAUACUGAGGGACUUCGAGUGCGGGAGAGGAAAGUGGAAUUCCUGGUGUAGCGGUGAAAUGCGUAGAUAUCAGGAGGAACACCGGUGGUGUAGACGGCUUUCUGGACCGUAACUGACGCUGAGACACGAAAGCGUGGGUAGCAAACAGG
rnacentral:rRNA from 1 species